AUGUUUUAUUUCAUUUUCAGGGGCUUAUAAAAUUCUACAGAAGUCCCAGAAACCCAGUGCAUUAAGUGACAUUGACCAGCAAUACUUAAACUAUAUAUUCAGUGUGGUGCUCCUGGCAUUUGCGUCUCAUCCCACAGGUGAUCUCUUCAGCGUCCUGGACUUUCCGUUCCUGUACUUCUACAGAUUCCAUGGCAGCUGCUGUGCCAGUGGAUUUUUGGGAUUCUUUCUCAUGUUCAGUACAGUGAAGCUAAAAAACCUUCUGGCCCCAGGGCAGUGUGCAGCCUGGAUUUUCUUUGCUAAGAUAAUCACAGCUGGCUUAUCAAUAUUGCUGUUUGAUGCGAUCCUGACCAGUGCAGCCACGGGAUGCCUCCUGCUCGGUGCACUUGGAGAGGCCUUGCUGGUUUUCUCAGAGCGGAAGAGCUCCUGAACAAGACAGUCAAGAGAAGGAGACUCACAGGCUGCUGCGGGAGAACAUCGCCCCUAGUCUCAUAGCUCCCUGUUGAAUGUGUCAGAAAGAGGAACGCAAGGACAGUGAUGCCAGGUUGCUGCAGAGGAGCGGUCUGUUACAUCUU
rnacentral:sRNA from 1 species